rnacentral:rRNA from 1 species
GGAAUGAUGGUGACCCAAACCCUCACCAGAGUAGCAAUUGGAGGGCAAGUCUGGUGCCAGCAGCCGCGGUAAUUCCAGCUCCAAUAGCGUAUAUUAAACUUGUUGCAGUUAAAAAGCUCGUAGUUGUAUUUUUGCGUUAGCGGUUUGACCAUUUGGUUGGUUAUUUCGUUUUCGCUUUUGGGAAUUUCCCUUUUUACUUUGAGAAAAUUAGAGUGUUUCAAGCAGACUUUUGUCUUGAAUACUUCAGCAUGGAAUAAUAGAGUAGGACUUUGGUUCUAUUUUGUUGGUUAUUGAACCUUAGUAAUGGUUAAUAGGAACGGUUGGGGGCAUUCGUAUUUAACUGUCAGAGGUGAAAUUCUUAGAUUUGUUAAAGACGAACUACUGCGAAAGCAUUUGCCAAGGACGUUUCCAUUAAUCAAGAACGAAAGUUAGGGGAUCGAAGACGAUCAGAUACCGUCGUAGUCCUAACCAUAAACUA